rnacentral:misc_RNA from 1 species
AAACAGGAAGCUCAUCCUCUACUUCUCUGAUCUCUUUUUCCACCUCAAAACCCAAAUUCCAAAUCUUUCUUUUCUUUAUUUCCUGGUCAUCAUUAAUGGCAUUCCAUGCGAAAAGAGAGAAUAACUUCAUUUUUUUAACCCCAGAUGGUGAUUUUAAUCCUCUGAAUGCUCCUGAGAAUCUUUUCGAAUUUGAUGAGGCUGAUGUUUGGAACAAUAGUAAUAAUUCUAGUGCAGUGUCACAAUUGGAGGCCAAGAAAAUCGCACCCAGUUCCCGUCCAUCAAGAAAAGGUGGCAGAAAUAUGGUGGUGGAAAGGACUAGCCGGCCGGUGACCUGCGCUGCAUCUCUUCCAGUGAACAUACCAGAUUGGUCCAAGAUUUAUAGGGAAGAUCACUACAGAAGGCAUCAUAAAGAUGAUGAUCAAGAUCAAGAUGGUGACUAUUAUGGUGAUGAUCAUGGUGGUGAUGACGAAGAUGGAAGGAUUCCUCCCCAUGAAUAUUUAGCAAGGAGGAGAGGGGCUUCUUUUUCUGUUCAUGAAGGGAUAGGGAGAACAUUGAAAGGAAGAGACUUGAGGCAGGUGAGAAAUGCAAUUUGGAAGAUAGUUGGGUUUGAAGAUUAGCAGAAGAAAGAAUCAAUUAACGAGAGAGUAAAACUAGAAAAGGAUUAUUAAUUAUAUUAUAUAAUUAUAGAGAUAAGGAUGAGAGGAUGAUCAUGCAUUAAUUUUCUUUGAUAGGGU